AGCAGCCGCGGUAAUUCCAGCUCCAAUAGCGUAUAUUAAAGUUGUUGCAGUUAAAAAGCUCGUAGUUGAAUUUCAGGCCUGGCUGGACGGUCCGCCCUUCGGGUGAGUACUGUCUGUGGUCGGGUCCUACCUUCUGGCGAAGCGUCAUGGCCUUAACCGGCCGUGGCGGGGAACCAGGACUUUUACNGUGAAAAAUUGAGUGUUCAAAGCAGGCAAUCGCUUGGAUACAUUAGCAUGGAAUAAUGGAAUAGGACAAUGGUUCUAUUUGUUGGUUUCUAGGACCGUUGUAAUGAUUAAUAGGGAUAGUUGGGGCAUUAGUAUUCAAUUGUCAGAGGUGAAAUUCUUGGAUUUAUGAAGACUAACUACUGCGAAAG
rnacentral:rRNA from 1 species